rnacentral:tRNA from 1 species
GCCGUCGGGGUGUAGUGGUCAACACACUCGACGUGUAACAGAGAGGUCCGUGGUUCGAUUCCCGGCGAAGGCG